rnacentral:rRNA from 1 species
CAUGCAGGCGGUUAGACAAGUCAGAUGUGAAAUCCCCGCGCUUAACGUGGGCAUUGCAUUUGAAACUGUUUGGCUAGAGUUCUGUAGAGGGGGGUAGAAUUCCAGGUGUAGCGGUGAAAUGCGUAGAGAUCUGGAGGAAUACCGAUGGCGAAGGCAGCCAUCUGGCCUAACACUGACGCUGAGGUGCGAAAGCAUAAGGAGCAAACAGGAUUAGAUACCCCUGUA